rnacentral:rRNA from 2 species
GACGAACGCUGGCAGCGUGCCUAAUACAUGCAAGUCGAACGAACUCUGGUAUUGAUUGGUGCUUGCAUCAUGAUUUACAUUUGAGUGAGUGGCGAACUGGUGAGUAACACGUGGGAAACCUGCCCAGAAGCGGGGGAUAACACCUGGAAACAGAUGCUAAUACCGCAUAACAACUUGGACCGCAUGGUCCGAGUUUGAAAGAUGGCUUCGGCUAUCACUUUUGGAUGGUCCCGCGGCGUAUUAGCUAGAUGGUGAGGUAACGGCUCACCAUGGCAAUGAUACGUAGCCGACCUGAGAGGGUAAUCGGCCACAUUGGGACUGAGACACGGCCCAAACUCCUACGGGAGGCAGCAGUAGGGAAUCUUCCACAAUGGACGAAAGUCUGAUGGAGCAACGCCGCGUGAGUGAAGAAGGGUUUCGGCUCGUAAAACUCUGUUGUUAAAGAAGAACAUAUCUGAGAGUAACUGUUCAGGUAUUGACGGUAUUUAACCAGAAAGCCACGGCUAACUACGUGCCAGCAGCCGCGGUAAUACGUAGGUGGCAAGCGUUGUCCGGAUUUAUUGGGCGUAAAGCGAGCGCAGGCGGUUUUUUAAGUCUGAUGUGAAAGCCUUCGGCUCAACCGAAGAAGUGCAUCGGAAACUGGGGAACUUGAGUGCAGAAGAGGACAGUGGAACUCCAUGUGUAGCGGUGAAAUGCGUAGAUAUAUGGAAGAACACCAGUGGCGAAGGCGGCUGUCUGGUCUGUAACUGACGCUGAGGCUCGAAAGUAUGGGUAGCAAACAGGAUUAGAUACCCUGGUAGUCCAUACCGUAAACGAUGAAUGCUAAGUGUUGGAGGGUUUCCGCCCUUUCAGUGCUGCAGCUAACGCAUUAAGCAUUCCGCCUGGGGAGUACGGCCGCAAGGCUGAAACUCAAAGGAAUUGACGGGGGCCCGCACAAGCGGUGGAGCAUGUGGUUUAAUUCGAAGCUACGCGAAGAACCUUACCAGGUCUUGACAUACUAUGCAAAUCUAAGAGAUUAGACGUUCCCUUCGGGGACAUGGAUACAGGUGGUGCAUGGUUGUCGUCAGCUCGUGUCGUGAGAUGUUGGGUUAAGUCCCGCAACGAGCGCAACCCUUAUUAUCAGUUGCCAGCAUUAAGUUGGGCACUCUGGUGAGACUGCCGGUGACAAACCGGAGGAAGGUGGGGAUGACGUCAAAUCAUCAUGCCCCUUAUGACCUGGGCUACACACGUGCUACAAUGGAUGGUACAACGAGUUGCGAACUCGCGAGAGUAAGCUAAUCUCUUAAAGCCAUUCUCAGUUCGGAUUGUAGGCUGCAACUCGCCUACAUGAAGUCGGAAUCGCUAGUAAUCGCGGAUCAGCAUGCCGCGGUGAAUACGUUCCCGGGCCUUGUACACACCGCCCGUCACACCAUGAGAGUUUGUAACACCCAAAGUCGGUGGGGUAACCUUUUAGGAACCAGCCGCCUAAGGUGGGACAGAUGAUUAGGGUG